rnacentral:rRNA from 1 species
ACCAAGGUCCAUUCCUUCUAAACGAGGAGGAGGAGGAGAGGCAGAAAGGUGCGGCGGCGGUGGGCGAGGAUGCCCCUCGGCUAGGGUGCGGACUCGCGUCGUCGGUACCGCUAACGAAGAGAGUAGCGGAGGUCCAAGCGGUCCAGGCCGGUGCGGGAGGGGCGGCGGCGGCGCCGGUAGAGAGUCCGCGGGUCCCGGGUCGUGCGGUGUAGAGGCGACGAGAGGCGGAAGCCUGGUCAGUGAGCGCGGAAGUCGAGUUCCGGAGAUACCUUCCCUCGCAAGCAGCUGCGCAAGGACGUUUCUUAUUUCUUGUUCUCCCUCUUAGAGUUGCCGUUCUUCUAGACCAGGGCGUCCAGAAGGUAAGACGGCCUCAAGCAGCCAAGGUGGCAAGAGUAAAUGUUGCCGUUCUGAGUGCAGGCAACGUUCUAGUGGCUCCCCUUCCAGCCGGUAUUCGAACCCCUCAAACGAAAAUGCGCCUCCGCCUCCGGGGUAGCCCGGUAAAACCGCUUCCCGCCAGUUCCUUUCCCCUUCUUCUUCAUUCUUUUCCCUUACACGCACAUACUUUCCACCCAAGUUCCUGCCACCCUACUCCCGUAACAACUUCGUGUUCGUGAACUUAGUGGAAUUAAAAGACCUGACGCAAAAUAAAGAAUGUUCUUAUUAAUAUCGUCUUUCUUACAAAUCGAGCAGAAUGAACUUCUAAAAGGUACCUGAGACAAACAAAUGAGACGAUCACCAAGGUCGUAUUGAGAUCUCAUGAUGAAGAUAAGUGAGUUCCGUAACGAGAAUAUAAAAAAACCCGGAAUGACUCCAGACUACGGUGUUGGACGGUUCACAGAAAUGUGGACCAAGAUACUCACUCACUAACAUUCAAAACGAAGUUUCCAACAAAAGUCGGUUUAUCGCUACACAUAGAACGAUGUCAAGGG